rnacentral:rRNA from 1 species
CCUACGGGAGGCAGCAGUGAGGAAUAUUGGUCAAUGGCCGAGAGUCUGAACCAGCCAAGUCGCGUGAAGGAUGACUGCCCUAUGGGUUGUAAACCUCUUUUAUCAGGGAAUAAAACGAGUCACGUGUGCCUUUUUGCAUGUACUUUAUGAAUAAGCAUCGGCUAACUCCGUGCCAGCAGCCGCGGUAAUACGGAGGAUACGAGCGUUAUCCGGAUUUAUUGGGUUUAAAGGGAGCGUAGACGGGUUGUGAAGGCAGUUGUGAAAGUGUGCGGCUCAACCGUAGAAUUGCCGUUGAUACUGGCAGUCUUGAGUACAGGUGAGGUAAGCGGAAUUCGUGGUGUAGCGGUGAAAUGCUUAGAUAUCACGCAGAACUCCGAUUGCGAAGGCAGCUUACUAGCGUGUAACUGACAUUGAUGCUCGAAAGUGUGGGUAUCGAACAGGAUUAGAUACCCGAGUAGUC